CAGUCGCCACGGUAAAACGUAGGUGGCAAGCGUUGUCCGGAAUUAUUGGGCGUAAAGGGCUCGCAGGCGGUUUCUUAAGUCUGAUGUGAAAGCCCCCGGCUCAACCGGGGAGGGUCAUUGGAACCUGGGAAACUUGAGUGCAGAAGAGGAGAGUGGAAUUCCACGUGUAGCGGUGAAAUGCGUAGAGAUGUGGAGGAACACCAGUGGCGAAGGCGACUCUCUGGUCUGUAACUGACGCUGAGGAGCGAAAGCGUGGGGAGCGAACAGGAUUAGAUACCCCUGUAGUCCCUGUCUCUUAUAU
rnacentral:rRNA from 1 species